UUAAGUUAUUAAGGGCGCACGGUGGAUGCCUUGGCACUAGAAGCCGAUGAAGGACGUUACUAACGACGAUAUGCUUUGGGGAGCUGUAAGUAAGCUUUGAUCCAGAGAUUUCCGAAUGGGGAAACCCAGCAUGAGUUAUGUCAUGUUAUCGAUAUGUGAAUACAUAGCAUAUCAGAAGGCACACCCGGAGAACUGAAACAUCUUAGUACCCGGAGGAAGAGAAAGAAAAUUCGAUUCCCUUAGUAGCGGCGAGCGAAACGGGAAGAGCCCAAACCAACAAGCUUGCUUGUUGGGGUUGUAGGACACUCUAUACGGAGUUACAAAGGACGACAUUAGACGAAUCAUCUGGAAAGAUGAAUCAAAGAAGGUAAUAAUCCUGUAGUCGAAAAUGUUGUCUCUCUUGAGUGGAUCCUGAGUACGACGGAGCACGUGAAAUUCCGUCGGAAUCUGGGAGGACCAUCUCCUAAGGCUAAAUACUCUCUAGUGACCGAUAGUGAACCAGUACCGUGAGGGAAAGGUGAAAAGCACCCCGGAAGGGGAGUGAAAUAGAACCUGAAACCGUGUGCUUACAAGUAGUCAGAGCCCGUUAAUGGGUGAUGGCGUGCCUUUUGUAGAAUGAACCGGCGAGUUACGAUUUGAUGCAAGGUUAAGCAGUAAAUGUGGAGCCGUAGCGAAAGCGAGUCUGAAUAGGGCGUUUAGUAUUUGGUCGUAGACCCGAAACCAGGUGAUCUACCCUUGGUCAGGUUGAAGUUCAGGUAACACUGAAUGGAGGACCGAACCGACUUACGUUGAAAAGUGAGCGGAUGAACUGAGGGUAGCGGAGAAAUUCCAAUCGAACCUGGAGAUAGCUGGUUCUCUCCGAAAUAGCUUUAGGGCUAGCCUCAAGUGAUGAUUAUUGGAGGUAGAGCACUGUUUGGACGAGGGGCCCCUCUCGGGUUACCGAAUUCAGACAAACUCCGAAUGCCAAUUAAUUUAACUUGGGAGUCAGAACAUGGGUGAUAAGGUCCGUGUUCGAAAGGGAAACAGCCCAGACCACCAGCUAAGGUCCCAAAAUAUAUGUUAAGUGGAAAAGGAUGUGGCGUUGCCCAGACAACUAGGAUGUUGGCUUAGAAGCAGCCAUCAUUUAAAGAGUGCGUAAUAGCUCACUAGUCGAGUGACACUGCGCCGAAAAUGUACCGGGGCUAAACAUAUUACCGAAGCUGUGGAUUGUCCUUUGGACAAUGGUAGGAGAGCGUUCUAAGGGCGUUGAAGCAUGAUCGUAAGGACAUGUGGAGCGCUUAGAAGUGAGAAUGCCGGUGUGAGUAGCGAAAGACGGGUGAGAAUCCCGUCCACCGAUUGACUAAGGUUUCCAGAGGAAGGCUCGUCCGCUCUGGGUUAGUCGGGUCCUAAGCUGAGGCCGACAGGCGUAGGCGAUGGAUAACAGGUUGAUAUUCCUGUACCACCUAUAAUCGUUUUAAUCGAUGGGGGGACGCAGUAGGAUAGGCGAAGCGUGCGAUUGGAUUGCACGUCUAAGCAGUAAGGCUGAGUAUUAGGCAAAUCCGGUACUCGUUAAGGCUGAGCUGUGAUGGGGAGAAGACAUUGAGUCUUCGAGUCGUUGAUUUCACACUGCCGAGAAAAGCCUCUAGAUAGAAAAUAGGUGCCCGUACCGCAAACCGACACAGGUAGUCAAGAUGAGAAUUCUAAGGUGAGCGAGCGAACUCUCGUUAAGGAACUCGGCAAAAUGACCCCGUAACUUCGGGAGAAGGGGUGCUCUUUAGGGUUAACGCCCAGAAGAGCCGCAGUGAAUAGGCCCAAGCGACUGUUUAUCAAAAACACAGGUCUCUGCUAAACCGUAAGGUGAUGUAUAGGGGCUGACGCCUGCCCGGUGCUGGAAGGUUAAGAGGAGUGGUUAGCUUCUGCGAAGCUACGAAUCGAAGCCCCAGUAAACGGCGGCCGUAACUAUAACGGUCCUAAGGUAGCGAAAUUCCUUGUCGGGUAAGUUCCGACCCGCACGAAAGGCGUAACGAUUUGGGCACUGUCUCAACGAGAGACUCGGUGAAAUCAUAGUACCUGUGAAGAUGCAGGUUACCCGCGACAGGACGGAAAGACCCCGUGGAGCUUUACUGUAGCCUGAUAUUGAAAUUCGGCACAGCUUGUACAGGAUAGGUAGGAGCCUUUGAAACGUGAGCGCUAGCUUACGUGGAGGCGCUGGUGGGAUACUACCCUAGCUGUGUUGGCUUUCUAACCCGCACCACUUAUCGUGGUGGGAGACAGUGUCAAGCGGGCAGUUUGACUGGGGCGGUCGCCUCCUAAAAGGUAACGGAGGCGCUCAAAGGUUCCCUCAGAAUGGUUGGAAAUCAUUCAUAGAGUGUAAAGGCAUAAGGGAGCUUGACUGCGAGACCUACAAGUCGAGCAGGGUCGAAAGACGGAC
rnacentral:rRNA from 1 species